AGUCGAGCGAGUCUGCCUUGAAGAUCGGAGUGCUUGCACUCUGUGAAACAAGAUACAGGCUAGCGGCGGACGGGUGAGUAACACGUGGGUAACCUGCCCAAGAGAUCGGGAUAACACCUGGAAACAGAUGCUAAUACCGGAUAACAACAGAUGAUGCCUAUCAACUGUUUAAAAGAUGGUUCUGCUAUCACUCUUGGAUGGACCUGCGGUGCAUUAGCUAGUUGGUAGGGUAACGGCCUACCAAGGCGAUGAUGCAUAGCCGAGUUGAGAGACUGAUCGGCCACAUUGGGACUGAGACACGGCCCAAACUCCUACGGGAGGCAGCAGUAGGGAAUCUUCCACAAUGGACGCAAGUCUGAUGGAGCAACGCCGCGUGAGUGAAGAAGGGUUUCGGCUCGUAAAGCUCUGUUGUUGGUGAAGAAGGACGGGGGUAGUAACUGACCUUUGUUUGACGGUAAUCAAUUAGAAAGUCACGGCUGACUACGUGCCAGCAGCCGCGGUAAUACGUAGGUGGCAAGCGUUGUCCGGAUUUAUUGGGCGUAAAGCGAGUGCAGGCGGUUCGAUAAGUCUGAUGUGAAAGCCUUCGGCUCAACCGGAGAAUUGCAUCAGAAACUGUCGAGCUUGAGUACAGAAGAGGAGAGUGGAACUCCAUGUGUAGCGGUGAAAUGCGUAGAUAUAUGGAAGAACACCGGUGGCGAANGCGGCUCUCUGGUCUGUNNNUGACGC
rnacentral:rRNA from 1 species